rnacentral:rRNA from 1 species
UACGGGAGGCAGCAGUGGGGAAUAUUGCACAAUGGGCGCAAGCCUGAUGCAGCCAUGCCGCGUGUAUGAAGAAGGCCUUCGGGUUGUAAAGUACUUUCAGCGGGGAGGAAGGGAGUAAAGUUAAUACCUUUGCUCAUUGACGUUACCCGCAGAAGAAGCACCGGCUAACUCCGUGCCAGCAGCCGCGGUAAUACGGAGGGUGCAAG